GGUCCCCGCCCGCCUGGGUGGCCUUUAAUCCGGCGCCCCCUCCCUCCCCGGGGCGGAGCCUUCCCGCCCUCGCCGCGCACACGAGAGCGCAGCCGGAGUCGCCUGCUCUCGGCCCGCCCGCCGGCGUGCGGCGCACGCCCGCCAGGCCGCCAGACCUCGCCUCCCACCCCCGCGCCCCGGGAGCCUCAUUUUCUACCCACGCCGGCCUGCCCCCUCCCCGCCCCGCGCGCUCUGCGUCGCGCCCUCUCUGGCGCCCGGGGCUGGAGGGCGCAGGCCCGGGCGACCGCCUCCCUUGGGGGCGGAGGGCAGCGCCGGGGUCCCUGCGGUCUCAGCUGCCGGGUGUGGGCGUCGGUGCCUCGGGCGCCCCUUGGCUCCAGUCCUGAGUUGCCUGGGGCCGCUGUGGGCACAUUCACCCGGAGGCGCUCCUCGUCCCUAAAGGCGGGGGCCUGGGGCUGCACCGAACCCACUAGAGGCCUGCGGUCAGAAGGGGCCAGGCCUUAAGGCCCCUGCUGUGUCUCCGCCUGGAGCCUGCAGUUCCUGACAGGGUCAACAACUUGUCAGAAACCAGGGCCUCCCCACUGCACCUUGGUGAGGGAGAAACCAAGUCCCUCUGCCCUCCCCCAUCCAGGGCUGCCCCUGUGCGUUGCAUGAGGGGCCCCUCCCCUCCGACCCGGGAGCCCAGCCCCCCCCACCCCCCAAGACCUCCAGCAGGGGGCCCCCCCGGCCCUUCCUCCCCGGGGCUUGACCCCGGCUCCCCGUCCAGCCCUCCACCUGCUCUGGCUGGUGCUGUCAGCUGGAUGGCUCACCUGGGCCCUGGAUGAGGCCAGCACAGCCCUCAUUUCCUCCCAGGCCCGCCCUGCAGCCUCAGUACCUACCGGGCAUACCCUCUCCCAGGGUUUCUGCCCCAGGCCUAGGAGGCAGGCGCCCUGCUCCGAUCCCCCGGCGUACCUGUCCGCCGCACCUUCAGAACCCAGAAGAAACCUGGCCUCUUCUCAGCACCUGUGCCCAUCACGCAGCUGCUCAGAGCCUCCCUCCCGCCCCCUUCACCUGCCCUGUCGGCCGUCUGGGGACCCUCCUAUUUAGAGGAAAGGACUCGCUCCCUCCCUGACCUCCUUGGAGACCCUUUCUGGGUCUCCUUCCCUGAGGUGUUGCCUUCUCCUCCCACCACAGCUGAUCGCAUCUCACAGUUGUGACACGCGGGCUCCCUCCUCCAGGCUUCCAGCCAGGCCUGCCCUCCCCGUGGGGAGAUCGUUCCCUGAAUGAGGGGCUCCAUAAAGCGCGUGAGACUCCUGGCUGCCUCUCCAGUUCCUGACACACUGCCUGACCCACAGAGCACCCAGGACACACUGGUUGGAUGGACAGAAGACAGAUGGGUUGCUGGGCAGGGCUCCUGAGCAAAGCCUUUCAGAAGAGUGGCCUCUGUGGAGACAGCACCCUCACAUCGCACAGGACAGCCACAUCUCCACCAGAACAGUGUGUGCUGUGCUGCCUGCCCAGUGACCCUCCGCUCAUGUCACCCUCUGGGGUUUUCACCAAGAGCCUGUCCUAAGAACUCAUGGCAUCUCUCCUGAGUGGGACUGCUUCUGAGACCCAAGAAGCCGUUCAAGGGGCAGCAGAGCGUUACCCUGUGGACUCACGGAUUCAGAAGGAACGUGAUGCCAUCGUUGGCCAUUGGACGGGGUGCUGCAGAGGUGACCACAAGAUGCCCAAGGACAAGGGGACGGGAAGCCCAAAGCCCCUGCAGAGGCUGGAGCGCCUCACACGGGAAGCAGAGCUCGGGUGAGAAGCGUGGCUGUUUGGCUGGAUUUGUGGGCACCUGUAGGAUGACAGCAUCUCCGGGGCAGAUGGUCAAGAACGGUGCGGAGGCCAGCCUGCCUGUGAGCCUAGUCAGCGUAGGGGCAUGGAGUGUGCACUGUUCCUUCCCUUCUGACACCCACGCCCAGCUGCUGGCGCCUCCCCUCGACCACUUCUCCAGUGUCACCCCGUGGACUGGGGCUGUGGGUGGGUGUGCAGCCUCCAUGACCUCCUUGCUUCUAACUGGGGGGUGAUUUUAGGCAGGGCUGCAGUGACUCCACUCCAAGGCUGCCAUCCACACCAGGACACACCUGCAAGGCCAAAUGUACCCAGAGGGCAGUUUGCGUUUGGGGAGGAGGGUUGGCAGGGCGUGUUGGGAAGUGUCCUCAGGACCCUGAUAACUCGCUACUCACAGUGGCCAUCAGGCAGCCAUGAGCCUCCCCUCUCUGCCCCCUGCCCCCACUCCCCUCCCCUCCCCCUUGGCCUGGAUCACCUGUAGGUUUGCCUGCACACAGAUGCUUGUGCUGCCAGAGCACAGCACCACAGACAGGGGAGCUUAAACAACAGAAAUCUAUUUUGUCACAGAACUGGAGGCUGCAAGCCCAAGGCCAAGGCUUGACAGAGUUCUGGUUCUGGUGAGAGCCCCUUCCUGGCUGUCAGCUACUGUGUCCUCUGUGGCCUUUCCUCAGAGUGCAGGCGGGAGCGGGGAGGGAGCUCUCUCUCUUUCUCUUCUUAUAAGGCCACUGAUCCUAUUGGAUUAUGGCCCCACCCUUAUGACCUCAUUUACCCCUAAUUGCCUCCAAAUACCAUCACAGUGGACGGUCAGGGCUUCAACAUAGGAAUUUCAGGGGGACACAGUUCAGUCCAUAACACCCAUGGAAAAGCCACAACCAUACAACAUAACCUAAAAAGUUAAAAAAAUGCAAGUAACCGGUCUGCAAAAUUAAGAAAAUAAAAAUGGAAAACAU